AUAGGCACCAGCUUUUGAAAAGCAGGUCCUGGGAUUCAAAUUAGGAAUAACUUUGGGCUAAUCAUCAGUGCUGCCAUGGUGACUAGUUCCUGUGAAGUCAUUACUGCCUCAAGUCCCCUUGAUCUUCUGAAGACAGCCUUCAUUCUCUGACUCUGAGAUUUCUCGAGGUACUCUUAAUGCUUAGGCAUUCGAACACACAUAUAUGUAUAUUUGUCUUACUUCCAUAAACAAAAACAAGAAUCUCAUUACAAAUGUACAGUCUGUACAGUCAAGCAAAACAAAUUCUCCCAGUGGCCACAACCAAACAAAAAUGUGUCUCAAUCUUCACUCUGAGUCUAUUGCCUUUCUCUCAGGAGGAGCUGGACCUUAAAUGAGGAAAUAAAGGAGAAAGCCUGGAUCCCAAAUUAAUAUUUGGUUAUUAAUAAAAGAGUAAAAUAAUUUCUCUAAAGUGUCACCUUUAUUUGGUGGGCAUGACAUGGAUGAAGAUCCAGCAAGAGAAACUGAGAUUGAGAUGUCUAUAAUUCUGAGGUGCUAUGUGUUAGGCCUACAGAAGAAACCUAUGGGAAACAGGAGAGUCAUCCUUGAGUAUCUGAGCAGCUAUCACAUGGAGAAGGUGACCUCAUGUCUUCAGUGCACUUUCUUUUCUAUUCUCUCUUUUGGAUGCCUUAACUUCCUUUAAAACUCAGCAUAGGCGACAUCUUCUACAGGAGGCCUUUCCUGAUUGCUUGUAGUGUUGAGGAGAUAGCCUUGUUUGCAUAAUUCAACCCAGUUACUAAAGAAGAAGAGAGAUGGAAUGACAAACUGAAAGAGGAAAGGAGUACUUUUCCAGAUAUCCAAAAGACUCAGUUGCCUGGGAAGAUGGGUGUCCCAGCCCUUGCCUUCUUGUCCCUGAACCUUCUGUCAUGUGUGGAGGCAGUGGCUAAUCUUUCCUUUGUUACUAAAUAAACACCGAGACAAAA